CAGAGGUCCCAAGCGUUGUUCGGAUUCACUGGGCGUAAAGGGUGCGUAGGCGGUCGGGUAAGUCUGAUGUGAAAUCUCACAGCUUAACUGUGAAACUGCAUUGGAUACUAUUCGGCUUGAGAGUUGGAGGGGGGACUGGAAUUCUCGGUGUAGCAGUGAAAUGCGUAGAUAUCGAGAGGAACACCAGUGGCGAAGGCGAGUCCCUGGACAACUUCUGACGCUGAGGCACGAAAGCUAGGGGAGCGAACGGGAUUAGAUACCCCGGUAGUCCUAGCCUUAAACGAUGAAUGCUUGGUGUCUGGGGUUUUAUAGUCCCCGGGUGCCGUCGCUAACGCUUUAAGCAUUCCGCCUGGGGAGUACGGUCGCAAGACUG
rnacentral:rRNA from 1 species